UAAGUUAGUGGUAGAUGAUAACAUCAUCUUCCUCCUUGGUCCAUACUAUCCAUUUGAGAAAGAAAAACAGAAAGGAAAACACCAUAGUUGAAGACUAAAGAUUCAGCCAAGCUAAAAUCCCAAGCUAAGACAAUGUUGGUCCGUCGAGAGGGAAAGGAAAAGCAAGAGUCGAUGACGAGUGGCACGAGCUUUCAGUUUGUAUUUCUAUAAUUUAGGAUCAAUUUGAAUUGUUGCAUAUUUGUGAUAUUUUGCACAAUAUAAUAUUGAGGUGAGGUGAGUUGAUAAUGAUUAUUUGAAUGAAAUUUCCAUGUUUGAGAUUGAAUAUCGAGGUAGUGGACUAAUUAAAUAAAAUAGAUAAUUGUAUGAAUUAAUGCAUAUAUAAUAUUUGGUGUGGAAUUAAGUUGAAA